AAAAACAUUUUCUAUUGUAUAUAAAUUUUAGAUAAGUCCUGCUCAAUGAUUUUAUUAAAUAGCCGCGAUAUUUUAUCGUGCAAAGGUAGCAUAAUAAUUUGUCCUUUAAUUAAGGUCUAGUAUGAAAGGUUUAACGAGAGAUAAACUUUUUUAAUUAAAAAUUUUUGAAUUUGUUUUUUUAGUAAAAAAACUAAAAUUAUAUAAUGGGACGAUAAGACCCUAUAAAAUUUUUAUUUUUAUAUUAUUAUUUAAUUUUUAGUUUUUACAUAUAUUUUUAAUAUAAAUAUUUAGUUGGGGCGACUGUUUAAUUUUAUUAACUUAAAUUUUCGAUUUUCAUAAAUUAAUGAUUUUUUGAUCCUGUAUUAUAGAUUAUAAGAAUAAAUUACUUUAGGGAUAACAGCGUAAUUUCUUUGGGGAGUUCUUAUUUAUAAAGAAGUUUGCGACCUCGAUGUUGGAUUAAAGUUUAAUUUUGGUGUAGUAGCUAAAAAGUUUUAGUCUGUUCGACUAUUAAAAUUUUACAUGAUCUGAGU
rnacentral:rRNA from 1 species